rnacentral:lncRNA from 1 species
UUUAUGGGAUCAAACAUAAUUAAAUUCUUUUUUCAAAUAUAACUGUUAGCAAUAAUGAAUAUGAAAACCAAUAUAAUUUUUAUUUUUCAAAAAAUAAGUUAUAUACAGUAAUAACACAUAAAAUCUUCUCUUAGUCUUCGAUGACUAUGGCCAUGAUCAACCCCAUGACAGGGCCCAGAAGAGACUAUCCAUUAAAAAUAGAACAUAUGAUCUAUUGAUGUGUACCAAUGAUCAGUCCUAUUAGUUAGAUCCAGAAGAGAACUAGCUCGGAUUUACAUAGCUACGAUUAGCCCCA